CCUGGCUCAGAGCGAACGUUAGCGGCAGGCUUAACACAUGCAAGUCGAGCGAGAAAGGGGCUUCGGCUCCGAGUAAAGCGGCGGACGGGUGCGUAACACGUGGAUAAUCUGCCUCGUGGCGGGGGACAACAGUCCGAAAGGACUGCUAAUACCGCAUGUCAGGUCGGAAACUCCGGUUUCUGACGAAAAAGAGGGCACCCGCAAGGGGCUCUCACCACGAGAUGAGUCCGCGUCCCAUCAGCUAGUUGGCGGUGUAAUAGACCACCAAGGCUUAGACGGGUAGCUGGUCUGAGAGGAUGACCAGCCACACUGGGACUGAGACACGGCCCAGACUCCUACGGGAGGCAGCAGUGGGGAAUAUUGGACAAUGGGCGAAAGCCUGAUCCAGCCAUGCCGCGUGAGUGAUGAA
rnacentral:rRNA from 1 species